rnacentral:lncRNA from 1 species
AGACCAAGUUCUUUGUGUCAGAAAACAAAGAGAUUACUGAAACAUACAAAGGCAGAACAGCAGUGAAACUUGGCAUUCCUAUUGUAUCAUUGUCAUUCAUUGAUGACUGUGCACAACAACAGAAAUUACUCGACAGUGAUGAAUAUCUGUUGGUUGGAAAAUCCACUGCAAAACAGUUCUCAUCGGGUAUUAUAAAAGGUAAUGAGUAAUGUAUUAUAAUGAGUUUGAGAUGUGACAAUGAUAUGUAAUUUGAAUCUAAAAAGUUGUUUUACUGAUAAUUGUUUUUAGCGAAUGUCCAGAAACCAAGUGGUGCUAAGGCAAAAUUACUAAAACCCUUGUCGCUUGCAAAUCUGAAGUCUACAAG